AUCACGCUGGCGGCGCGCCUAACACAUGCAAGUCGAACGAGAAAGCAGGAGCAAUCUUGUGAGUAAAGUGGCGUACGGGUGAGUAACACGUGGAUCAUCUACCUCUUUGUGGGGGAUAACCCUGGGAAACCGGAGCUAAUACCGCAUAAGUCCGAGAGGAGAAAGCAGCAAUGCGCAGAGAGAGGAGUCCGCGGCCGAUUAGCUAGUUGGUAGGGUAAAAGCCUACCAAGGCAACGAUCGGUAGCCGGCCUGAGAGGGCACACGGCCACACUGGCACUGAAACACGGGCCAGACUCCUACGGGAGGCAGCAGUGGGGAAUCUUGCACAAUGGGGGCAACCCUGAUGCAGCGACGCCGCGUGAGCGAUGAAGCCCUUCGGGGUGUAAAGCUCUUUCGGCAGGGAAGAUUAUGACGGUACCUGCAGAAGCAGCUGCGGCUAACUACGUGCCAGCAGCCGCGGUAAUACGUAGGCAGCAAGCGUUGUUCGGAGUUACUGGGCGUAAAGGGUGUGUAGGCGGUUUUCUAAGUCUGGUGUGAAAUCUCCCGGCUCAACUGGGAGGGUGCGCCGAAAACUGGAAGGCUAGAGUGCGGGAUGGGAGAGUGGAAUUCCUGGUGUAGCGGUGAAAUGCGUAGAUAUCAGGAGGAACACCUGUGGUGUAGA
rnacentral:rRNA from 1 species